CCUUACCUACCCUUGACAUGUCUAGAAGUUUCCAGAGAUGGAUUCGUGCUCGAAAGAGAACUAGAACACAGGUGCUGCAUGGCCGUCGUCAGCUCGUGUCGUGAGAUGUUGGGUUAAGUCCCGCAACGAGCGCAACCCUUAUCAUUAGUUGCUACGCAAGGGCACUCUAAUGAGACUGCCGGUGACAAACCGGAGGAAGGUGGGGAUGACGUCAGGUCAUCAUGGCCCUUAUGGGUAGGGCUACACACGUCAUACAAUGGCCGGUACAGAGGGCUGCCAACCCGCGAGGGGGAGCUAAUCUCAGACAACCGGUCGUAGUCCGGAUCGCAGUCUGCAACUCGACUGCGUGAAGUCGGAAUCGCUAGUAAUCGCGGAUCAGCUUGCCGCGGUGAAUACGUUCCCGGGUCUUGUACACACCGCCCGUCACACCAUGGGAGCGGGUUCUGCCAGAAGUAGUUAGCCUAACCCGCAGGAGGGCGAUUACCACGGCAGGUUUCGUGACUGGGGUGAAGUCGUAA
rnacentral:rRNA from 1 species